UACGAAGGUCCCAAGCGUUGUUCGGAAUCACUGGGCGUAAAGCGUGCGUAGGCGGCUAAGUAAGUCAGGCGUGCAAGCCCGUGGCUCAACCACGGAAUUGCGUUUGAAACUGCUUAGCUUGAGUACAGGAGAGGAAAGCGGAAUUCCCAGUGUAGCGGUGAAAUGCAUUGAUAUUGGGAAGAACAUCUGUGGCGAAGGCGGCUUUCUGGUCUGUUACUGACGCUGAGAUACGAAAGCCAGGGUAGCGAACGGG
rnacentral:rRNA from 1 species